CGUGAGAAUCUGCCUUAAGGAUUGGGACAACAGUGGGAAACCGCUGCUAAUACCAAAUAUGCCUUUUAGUGAAACGGGUAAAACCGCCUUAAGAUGAGCUCGCGUCUGAUUAGCUAGUUGGUGUGGUAAGAGCGCACCAAGGCAACGAUCAGUAGCUGGUCUGAGAGGACGACCAGCCACACUGGGACUGAGACACGGCCCAGACUCCUACGGGAGGCAGCAGUGAGGAAUUUUCCGCAAUGGGCGAAAGCCUGACGGAGCAAUACCGCGUGAGGGAGGAAGGUUCUUGGAUUGUAAACCUCUUUUCUCAGAGAAGAAUAAUGACGGUAUCUGAGGAAUAAGCAUCGGCUAACUCCGUGCCAGCAGCCGCGGUAAUACGGAGGAUGCAAGCGUUAUCCGGAAUGAUUGGGCGUAAAGGGUCUGUAGGUGGUUGUUCAAGUCUGCUGUUAAAGCGUCUGGCUUAACCAGAUAAAGGCGGUGGAAACUGAACGACUAGAGUGCGGUAGGGGUAGAGGGAAUUCCCAGUGUAGCGGUGAAAUGCGUAGAUCUUGGGAAGAACACCUGUGGCGAAAGCGCUCUACUGGACCGCGACUGACACUGAUGGACGAAAGCUAGGGGAGCGAAUGGGAUUAGAUACCCCAGUAGUCCUAGCCGUAAACGAUGGAUACUAG
rnacentral:rRNA from 1 species